rnacentral:rRNA from 1 species
GACGAACGCUGGCGGCGUGCUUAACACAUGCAAGUCGAACGGAAAGGCCCUGCUUUUGUGGGGUGCUCGAGUGGCGAACGGGUGAGUAACACGUGAGUAACCUGCCCUUGACUUUGGGAUAACUUCAGGAAACUGGGGCUAAUACCGGAUAGGAGCUCCUGCUGCAUGGUGGGGGUCGGAACGUUUCGGCGGUUGGGGAUGGACUCGCGGCUUAUCAGCUUGUUGGUGGGGUAGUGGCUUACCCAGGCUUUGACGGGUAGCCGGCCUGAGAGGGUGACCGGCCACAUUGGGACUGAGGUACGGCCCAGACUCCUACGGGAGGCAGCAGUGGGGAAUAUUGCACAAUGGGCGGAAGCCUGAUGCAGCAACGCCGCGUGCGGGAUGACGGCCUUCGGGUUGUAAACCGCUUUCGCCUGUGACGAAGCGUGAGUGACGGUAAUGGGUAAAGAAGCACCGGCUAACUACGUG